AUAAGAAACAGUGCAGUUGUCCAGAAAAACAUAAGGAGGAUGAAGAUUCACCAAACAAGCUCUAUAUGUUGGUUACCUAUGUAGCUGUCACCACUUUCAAAAAUCUACAGACUGUUAACAUGGAUGAGAACUAAUUGCUGAUUGUCAAAUGAAGGUAUAAAACUGCA